GACGAACGCUGGCGGUGUGCCUCACACAUGCAAGUCGAGCGGAUUUACUUAGUAGCUUGCUAUUAAGUAAGUUAGCGGCGGACGGGUGAGUAAUGCGUAGGAAUCUACCCUAAGGUAGGGGAUAACGGGCUGAAAGGUCCGCUAAUACCCCAUAUGCGGGUUCGUCUUCGGAGGAUUCGUGAAAGGAAGCAAUUCGCCUUUGGUAUGAGCCUGCGUCUGAUUAGCUAGUUGGUAGGGUAAAGCCUACCAAGGCUACGAUCGGUAGUUGGUCUGAGAGGAUGAUCAGCCACAAUGGGA
rnacentral:rRNA from 1 species